ACCACCUCACCUUCCCUCACUCCAAAAUGGACAGCCUCCCCAGAACAUGAAAGAAGAGUCAUGGGGUACUGUGGGUUAUUUCCCAAUUCUGGGGAUGAUCCAAGUCCUGGCAGAUACAGAGGAGUUGAUUCUGCCUUCUUCACCUGUAGAUGGCAACAAUUCUGGGAAGAGUUCAAGUAUGAGGGAUUACAGUUUGCUUUACCCAGGCGAGUUCUGGGAAAAUUCUCCCAGAUUUGUCCGGGUCCUGCGACAGUAGCUGAUGGCAGGGUUUGCCUGGGAACUGACACAAAUGUGGAAAAACAUCAUUGGAAUAUUCCUGCUACUUCUGCUUAGAGGCUUGAGACCAAGAAGGUGAAGAGGGUUAU
rnacentral:lncRNA from 1 species